GAGAAAGCCUGGCACACACACACUGGCUGGAAUCUGCAAGCCUCCCUCAGCCUCGGCUGGAAGGAAAAUCUGCAAAGAUGCAAACAAUCCUUGGGUGUUCAGUUAGCAUUGCCUUGAAGCAGCCUAAUCCAGUAAACCAGUUCAGUGUACAAAAUGGGAAAGCGGAAGGCUGGUAAGGAGCUUGCUCAGGACACAGAGCUGAUCUUUCCGGGGCACCACAAUGGUUCCAUGCAUGGUUUCGAUGCAGCAGAAAAGUUACCACCUUCUCAACACCUUGUAGAAGAGUAUGUAUGGAAGGUGGCCUCAUAUGGCCAACGGGAAACCAGGCUUCUACCUCUAACCCUGCAAAGAACAUCCCAAAGUCAAAAAAUGGUCAACAGGAACCUUUGGAAGUAAGAGGUACCCAGCUGUAAACAUCAUGAAGGAUGUGGCGGGAGGGCGGCUUUCCUCCCUUUAGGAGCUGUACAUACAUUAAUCACUGAAUCACCAAGCCAUGCUUAAUUGCAAGCUGUAUAUCACACAAAUCCACGGAAUGCAGAAAAGGUAUUACACCACUAAUUACAGCCCACACCAGCCCCUCCAUCUCAGCUGCCUGGAAGAGGAAACGGAACUCUCUCAGAUCUGCAAAUCCGCAGCCAGCCCCAGCUUCAGCCUCAUUGCUGCUAAGUGACUUUUAUAAGAUGCUUCUCCCCGUCCCCCACCCACCUCCCUCACCCCCAUCUUUCCUCCCUUUCCUUCCUGGGAAAAGUGUGUAGAAAUCUAUUACUCCUUGAGAGUUUACAGAACUGUUUAAGUGAUAAAGAAAAAAAAAAAAACCUUGCAGUAUAUUUUGCUUUGACAAAAUUAUUGAUUUAAAUCCCAUACAAUAGCACAAUACUAUUUAAAGGUCAACCCAAGAAAAAUGAGUUUACACCCGAACAGAGCCGAGCUUAUCUGUCAUGAAAGUGUAAUGAUGUGUUUAUUCCCUCACUAGAGUGUAUAUAUUUUUCAGGAAGAUAUAACAGUCUACUUGCAGGUGAAAUCUGCUCUUAAAUGGGAAUUUCAGGAGAUAUUUACAUUUCAGAUGGUGGGGCUGAGAUCCUGUAGCCCUGAGACCCAUUUCCGUACUUAAUAGUCAGAUUAUAAAAAUUAGAAAUACAGUUGUAUCACCAUUUUCCAGCACACCCCAUGGUUCUGAUGAUAUAUUCCCUGGGCCCAGGUUCCCCACUCAAAGGACACUGCUUCUGAAUGAAGGGUGAGUAUUCUUAUUUUACUGAUGGGGAAAGUGAGGCCAGGAGAGGCUACAGUCAGUGUUGGAGCCAAACUAGAGUCCAAAUCCUCUGAUUGUACCCUGGUUCACAUCCCAUUGCUCCAUAUGCUCUCCCUACUAGGGGUGGGUGCAGAGGGGAAGGCAACCUAGGAUAGGGGUCCAAUACCAGCGCUGAGGCCACACUGCCCGGAUUGAACCUCACUUACC